UGGAUCCCAUAAUCUGUAACCAACAGUUG
rnacentral:sRNA from 1 species